rnacentral:lncRNA from 1 species
GAUGCCUUAUGUUAAGGAACAAGUCCUCCUCGAAGGCCUUCCUUCUGAGCUCUUCCAGUGCUACCAUGUAUGAUGCCAUAUUUUUCCUUUUAUGGAAUUGAUCGAGUUGUGAAGCUUACCCUCCUCUAACUCGCUUUAUAUAAGCUUCAUUCGCUUCUUGGAAGUUAUUGCUCCUACAGUUUCUCGAGGUUAAGUCCUUGGU